rnacentral:lncRNA from 1 species
UUUUGUUGACCAAUUGUGAUGACUUGUUUGAGUUUUACUCUUGUUGUUAGGACUUGGUCAAGGUUGAUUUGACUUUGUCAAGUUAAUAUCAUUGAUUUAGGGGGUUAAUGGAAUGUACAUUCCAUCUCCCAAAAUGAAUGAAUGAUAUUAAUUUGGUAAAAGUCCUCCUUUGACCAAUUUGAGUUUUGAUCCAUUCCCCUCCCUCUUCA